GGGGCUGAUCGGUUUCGACGUUGAGACGAGAUGUUGUGGGUGCGGCUCGAGUUGCUCAGACUCGUUAAACGGGGCACAAACAGAAGCGCCAAUAACAAGGCUACCUUCGCUCUUGCCGCCUGAUUCCGUCAGGUAGCUAGAGGAACAUAGCGAGCCGUGAGGCCACGCGGGGUCAGACCACUGCAGCCCGGCAACAGAAGCAGUGGUGGACGGCGGGAGAGACCGCUGACAGCAGGCAAAGACCGCUGACAUCUGGGAAAGUCCAGGCGGCUCAGGUCAUGGUUCGCCGUGGCCGCCUAACCCGGUAGGUCGGUGGCCGUAAGGCCGGAAACACGGGAAUAGUCGUAUCGCCUGCAAUGCCUGCUCGACGGACGGGGGUUCGAUUCCCCCCAGCUCCACUU
rnacentral:tmRNA from 1 species